UGAGCUUGGACCUGGUCAUAGCAGCCCAGACCCUGAGAGCACCCUGAGAGGCCUCUUUCUCACGACCUCUCACUACAGACAGGAAGGCUGCAAAUAUAGGGUGGGCUUGGCAAGGACACCGUCUUCACUGAACAAGGAUGCCGUGCUGUUACUGCUUUGGAGGUUUGAUGCAAUGGGCCCUUCAGAGGAGUGACUUUGGAAAAAGUCUCUAUACUUCAGUUUCCUCACCUCAUGGAAAAUCUUAAGUCCCCAAUCUGGGAUUGAACCUGCACCUCCUGCAUUGGAAAUGAUUCUCCAGGCAAGAAUACUGGAGUGGGUUGCCAUUUCCUUCUCCACCCCCAGAGGCCUAGUGCUCAUCAAAUGCUUGUUGACUGAAUUCCAGUUUUGCCACAGAGCUAUCCCCAACACCCAGGAGGGUGAUGAUGCUUCACCCUAACAGUGGCGCCUGCCUUCUUCCCAAAACAGCCUCCAAAGCUCCAAGCUGCGAACUGCGCCUUCACACCACCUUCUGUGGCUUUGGGAGUCAAGGGGAGAAUUCACAGUACUUUGGAAAACACAUUUUCUUUUAAGGAAGAAUUUUUUGUUUUCAUUUCAAACAGCGCUGGCUGGUGACGAGUGGUGAGGAGAGGUGCCCUGUUUUCCAUCCUCACGCCUAUUUCCAGGUGGGGGCAGGGAAGGCUCCAACCCGAAAUGUUAUUUCAAAACCUUUCCGAGCCUUGCAGCUCCAUUUCCAGGCCACAUGCCUCAAAGAAAAGCACAAUUUCCCAUUACGUCGUGUUUUGCCCUUUCUGGUCUGAGCACCUUUCAAAGGGGGACGACCCAGCCUGUUCCAACACUCCCUCCUGCCCCAUAAAUAAAGCUGCAUCGUGUAAUACAGGACGCCCGAUGGCCCCGCUCCCGAUAGGCAUGCUUGCCAAGAGCUGCAAGCUCACGCUGCUCCUCCCAGGCCCUCAAGAGAGAGAAGACAAAACUGAUGUGAAGUGAAUGCUCCCUGCCCACUCUCUGCCAUCUGAGGCACAUUCCUGAAAGGAGCAAGGCCAGCAAAGUCUUGUCAUCUGUCGGGGGUGUGAACAGUGGUAGAUGACGUGCUCCCUGCCAGGGAAGGCCACGUUCAGACACUCCCGGAUAGCCAGCUGCCACUUUAUUAACAGAAAAUAUCCCCAUCUGAACCAGGCUGGGAAAGAAAAUAUUUAUGCUCGCCUGUCAGGAGGACCUUCAUUUUUCUUCCAAGGGAGCCAGCCAGGGUGCUGGCCCAGGGAUGGAGGAAUGUAACAUGUCUGUGGGGCUGCUCCAAGAUCUUCUGUGGCCUGGGGUUGAUGGAAACUCCAGAAUAUCCUCAGGAGAGCUCUAGACAAGUACGAGGGGCUUCAGGAGGACUGGAUGGGGGAGCCCAAGAGAGGCAGAGUCAGGGCAAACAGAACACACCCUGGACCCUGUGAAGCUGUGAAUGAGAUAUCUGGGUGUGGAUGUGGGAGCUGCAGUUAGAGAUCCUGUCCAAAUGCACCUUGAAAUGACUCCAGUAUUGAUUAAAAACACGGAGCUACAUUAAUCUGAGGAGUGACUUUGUAUGAAGAAUAAAAUAAUCUUGCAUCGUUAGAAACUGUCAAUACAGGA